ensembl:lncRNA
CAGCCUCCUCAUCACCUCCUGCACCCCGAGCUCUCUCUCUCUCUCUCUCUCCCUCUCCCUCCCUCUCUCUCCCUCUCUCCCUCUUCCUCUCCCCCUCCCCCUCCCCUUCCCCUCCCUCCCUCUCACAGAAAAUUUCUCUCUGUGCCGAAGCUGGGGAGGCCAAGGUCAAGGUGCCCACGGACAGGCAGACCUGCUGAGGACCUGCUCACUAGAUGCAGCCACCUCUGCAAAAGCCCCACCUGUGACCACAAGAGGCUCUGAGGGGCCGUCCAGACCCAGCCCUGACAGGGAGUUUCCGCCCUUUGGUCAGAGGAAUGCCAGACCCCAUCCCUACAGUUUCUUCACAAAGGGGCACUGGGAAGAGUGGCACGCUGAGAACCAUGAGGGGUUUUAUUCCUAGAAAAAGCGCAAAGAGCUGGACUUGGCUUUUUCAACCCAGAUCAGAAACCCUAGGUUGUCAUGGCAGGCAGAAGUGAUCCAAACCCUAAGCACAAAGCUGGAGUUCGGG